UUCAUGACUGAUCAAUGAUCUAAUUGUGGAUGACCAUUUAGACAUGAUUGGGUUACGUGAAACUUGGCUUAAACCUACAGCUGUUCUUCCCUUAAAUGAAGCUUGCCCACUGGCAUACACAUUUAGUCACGUUUCACGUGGUACAAAGCAAGGCGGGGG